AUGAAGUUUUGUGUGGAGGAAGGAGCUGGAUGUUUUCUCCGAGUGGAGCUGCUGCAAGGGCCUUUCCUGCUGCUGUCACCAGUCCCAGUGGAUGCUCAGCUGCCUUCAGGUGUGAGCUGGCAGUGGCUGUCCCUGUGGGUGCAGACUGGUGACCCAGGCCCUGCCUGGGGAGGAAAGCAGCUGCAAGAGAGCUGGGAAAUUCCUGGUGCUGUGCUGGUCCUGGGGAAUGCUGCUGGCUGGAUUUAUGGGAAGGUGAGUGGUUAUCUCCUCCCUGCCCUUCUCUCACCUCUCUGGGCCGUACAGCAGCUCUGAAUGUGGUCCCUGUGUCCUCCCAUCGAGGUCAGAGCUGAGCCUGGACCUGCCCCAAAUCCCUUCUGUCCCCCAGAGUUUGAAGUACUGCUCUGACAAGGAGCUUGACACAACAAAGUGAGCUGUGCUCCAGCCAGAGCCAGAAAGUUUCAUGUUCAGAUAUUUGAAUCUGUCAUUUCCAGGAGACCAUAAAAUCCCUUUUUAAAUAACGCGUGCGUGUGUUUCUGCAGCAGAAAAGCCUUUUCUGUACAAGUC
ensembl:lncRNA